GAUGAACGCUAGCGGCAGGCCUAAUACAUGCAAGUCGAGGGAGAAUGUUGGAUUCGUCUGACAUGAAACCGGCGCACGGGUGCGUAACACGUAUGCAACCUACCUUUAACUGGGGUAUAGCUCAGAGAAAUCUGAAUUAAUCCCCCAUAAGACUACGACAUGGCAUCAUGAUGUAGUUAAAGCUCCGGCGGUUAAGGAUGGGCAUGCGGUACAUUAGCUAGUUGGUGAGGUAAUGGCUCACCAAGGCUACGAUGUAUAGGGGGUCUGAGAGGAUGAUCACCCACACUGGUACUGAGACAAGGACCAGACUCCUACGGAGGGCAGCAGAAGGGAAUAUUGGUCAAUGGACGCAAGUCUGAACCAGCCAUGCCGCGUGAAGGAUGAAGGCCCUAUGGGUCGUAAACUUCUUUUAUUAGGGAAGAAAAAACGGGAUGCGUCCUGUACUGACGGUACUUAAUGAAUAAGGAUCGGUUAACUUCGUGCCAGCCGCCGCCGUAA
rnacentral:rRNA from 1 species